CAGGCCUAACACAUGCAAGUCGAGCGGAAACGAUCCUAGCUUGCUAGGAGGCGUCGAGCGGCGGACGGGUGAGUAACACGUGAGAAUCUGCCCAUUAGAGGGAGAUAACCUGGGGAAACCCAGACUAAUACCGCAUAAUCCCUACGGGGGAAAGCAGGGGAUCUUCGGACCUUGUGCUGAUGGAUGAGCUCGCGUCGGAUUAGCUUGUUGGUGAGGUAAUGGCUCACCAAGGCGACGAUCCGUAGCUGGUCUUAGAGGAUGAUCAGCCACACCGGGACUGAGACACGGCCCGGACUCCUACGGGAGGCAGCAGUGGGGAAUCUUGGACAAUGGGGGCAACCCUGAUCCAGCCAUGCCGCGUGUGUGAAGAAGGCCUUCGGGUUGUAAAGCACUUUCAGUAGGGAGGAAGGCUUAUCCUUAAUACGGAUGAGUACUUGACGUUACCUACAG
rnacentral:rRNA from 1 species